GAUGAACGCUGGCGGCGUGCCUAAUACAUGCAAGUCGAGCGAACAGACGAGGAUCUUGCUCCUCUUACGUUAGCGGCGGACGGGUGAUUAACACGUGGAUAACCUACCUAUAAGACUGGGAUAACUUCGGGAAACCGGAGCUAAUACCGGAUAAUAUAUUGAACCGCAUGGUUCAAUAGUGAAAGACGGUUUUGCUGUCACUUAUAGAUGGUUCCUCGCCGCAUUAGCUAGUUGGUAAGGUAACGGCUUACCAAGGCAACGAUGCGUAGCCGACCUGAGAGGGUGAUCGGCCACACUGGAACUGAGACACGGUCCAGACUCCUACGGGAGGCAGCAGUAGGGAAUCUUCCGCAAUGGGCGAAAGCCUGACGGAGCAACGCCGCGUGAGUGAUGAAGGUCUUCGGAUCGUAAAGCUCUGUUAGUAGGGAAGAACAAAAGUGUAAGUAACUAUGGACGUCUUGACGGUACCUAAUCAGAAAGCCACGGCUAACUACGUG
rnacentral:rRNA from 1 species